rnacentral:rRNA from 1 species
GUACUGUUAGUUAAGGUCUUUAAACCCAAAGAAUUUGGCGGUAUCUCAUUCCAUUCAGAGGAACCUACCCCGUGAUUGAUAAUACACGAUUAACUUUACUUAAUUUAUUUGUUUGUAUAUCUCCGUUAUCAGAAUAUCUUUUUAGAGUUAUAAUUUUCUUAAUUUUUAAUUGAAGAGUAUUUCAGGUCAAGGUGCAGCUUAUGGUUAAGAGGAGGUGGGUUACAAUAAGUUCAUAUUUAUUACGGAUUUGAUGGUGAAAUACUGUUAAUGAAGGUGGAUUUGAUAGUAAUUUAAUUUAUUUAAUUUAAUUGAUAUUGGCUCUGAGGUGUGUACACAUCGCCCG